rnacentral:misc_RNA from 1 species
GAUGAAGAACGUAGCGAAAUGCGAUACUUGGUGUGAAUUGCAGAAUCCCGUGAACCAUCGAGUCUUUGAACACAAGUUGCGCCCGAAGCCAUUAGGCCGAGGGCACGCCUGCCUGGGCGUCACACGUCGUUGCCCCCCCAUCUACUCCUUCGGGAUUGCGGGGGGCGGAUGAUGGCCUCCCGUGCGCCUCGUCGCGCGGUUGGCAUAAAUGCCAAGUCCUCGGCGACGCACGCCACGACAAUCGGUGGUUGCGAAACCUCGGUUGCCCGUCGUGUGCGGUCGUCGCGCAUCGAGGGCUCGAAAAAAUUGCCGGGCUCCGGCUCGGCUUUCAACGCGACCCCAGGUCAGGCGGGGUUACCCGCUGAAUUUAAGCAUAUCAAUAAGCGGAGGA